GAAUGAUUUGUCUGGUUAAUUCCGAUAACGAACGUGACUCAAUCAUAUUAAAUAGAUACCUAUCAGCAGUUGAGAUGCCGAAGCUGUAGUGUUUGCCGCAAGGUUGGCACUGCGGUGGAGUCUCACCUGAUAGUUUGUCAUUCAUCAUUCGUGGUGUUUGACUUGAAUCUGCUUAAUAGGACAAUUUGUGUUUAGCAAAAUGAGAUUGAGCAAUAACAGGUCCGUGAUGCCCUUAGAUGUCCUGGGCUGCACGCGCGCUACAAUGAAGACAUCAACGUGUAUCCUAUGUCGAAAGAUACGGGAAAUCACUAAAACGUCUUCUUAGUUGGGAUUAUGGACUGAAACUGUUCAUAUGAACCUGGAAUUCCCAGUAAAUG
rnacentral:rRNA from 1 species